GGGUGUGAUCAUAUCAGCACUAAGGCAUCCGAUCCCAUCAGAACUACGCAAUUAAGCGCGCUUGGGCAAGAGUUGUACUAGGAUGAGUGACCUCUUGGGAAGUCCUCGUGUUCCACCCA
rnacentral:rRNA from 1 species